rnacentral:rRNA from 1 species
ACUGCUCAGUAACACGUGGAUAACCUGCCCUUGGGACCGGCAUAACCCCGGGAAACUGGGGAUAAUUCCGGAUAACGCAUAUAUGCUGGAAUGCUUUAUGCGUGAAAUGGAUUCGUCUGCCCAAGGAUGGGUCUGCGGCCUAUCAGGUAGUAGUGGGUGUAAUGGACCUACUAGCCUACAACGGGUACGGGUUGUGAGAGCAAGAGCCCGGAGAUGGAUUCUGAGACAUGAAUCCAGGCCCUACGGGGCGCAGCAGGCGCGAAAACUUUACAAUGCGGGAAACCGUGAUAAGGGGACACCGAGUGCCAGCAUCAUAUGCUGGCUGUCCAGGUGUGUAAAAUACACCUGUUAGCAAGGGCCGGGCAAGACCGGUGCCAGCCGCCGCGGUAACACCGGCGGCCCGAGUGGUGAUCGUGAUUAUUGGGUCUAAAGGGUCCGUAGCCGGUUUGGUCAGUCCUCCGGGAAAUCUGACAGCUCAACUGUUAGGCUUUCGGGGGAUACUGCCAGACUUGGAACCGGGAGAGGUAAGAGGUACUACAGGGGUAGGAGUGAAAUCUUGUAAUCCCUGUGGGACCACCUGUGGCGAAGGCGUCUUACCAGAACGGGCUCGACGGUGAGGGACGAAAGCUGGGGGCACGAACCGGAUUAGAUACCCGGGUAGUCCCAGCCGUAAACGAUGCUCGCUAGGUGUCAGGCAUGGCGCGACCGUGUCUGGUGCCGCAGGGAAGCCGUGAAGCGAGCCACCUGGGAAGUACGGCCGCAAGGCUGAAACUUAAAGGAAUUGGCGGGGGAGCAC